rnacentral:tRNA from 1 species
AGAAAAGUGGCAGAUAAUUGUGUUUGAUUUGAAAUCAAUAGAUAAAGGUUUAAUUCCUUUUUUUUCUU